GACGAACGCUGGCGGCGUGCUUAACACAUGCAAGUCGAACGGAAAGGCCUCUUUCGGGGGGUACUCGAGUGGCGAACGGGUGAGUAACACGUGAGUAACCUGCCCUUGACUUUGGGAUAACUUCAGGAAACUGGGGCUAAUACCGGAUAGGAGCUCCUGCUGCAUGGUGGGGGUUGGAAAGUUUCGGCGGUUGGGGAUGGACUCGCGGCUUAUCAGCUUGUUGGUGGGGUAGUGGCUUACUAAGGCUUUGACGGGUAGCCGGCCUGAGGGGGUGACCGGCCACAUGGGGACUGAGAGACGGCCCAGACUCCUACGGGAGGCAGCAGGGGGGAAUAUUGCACAAUGGGUGGAAGCCUGAUGCAGCAACGCCGUGGGCGGGAGGACGGCCUUCGGGUUGUAAACCGCUUUCGCUCAUGACGAAGCUUUGUGUGACGGUAGUGGGUAAAGAAGCACCGGCUAACUACGUG
rnacentral:rRNA from 1 species